rnacentral:rRNA from 1 species
GGCGAACGCUGGCGGCAUGCUUAACACAUGCAAGUCGCACGGGCAGUAGCAAUACUGUCAGUGGCGGACGGGUGAGUAACGCGUAGGAAUCUAUCCUUGAAUGGGGGACAACCGUGGGAAACUACGGCUAAUACCGCAUGAUGCCUGAGGGCCAAAGACGAAAGUCGUUUGAGGAGGAGCCUGCGUCUGAUUAGGUAGUUGGUGGGGUAAAGGCCUACCCAAGCCUACGAUCAGUAGCUGGUCUGAGAGGAUGAUCAGCCACAUUGGGACUGAGACACGGCCCAAACUCCUACGGGAGGCAGCAGUGGGGAAUAUUGGACAAUGGGCGCAAGCCUGAUCCAGCAAUGCCGCGUGGGUGAAGAAGGUCUUCGGAUUGUAAAGCCCUUUUGGCGGGGACGAUGAUGACGGUACCCGCAGAAUAAGCUCCGGCUAACUUCGUG